GCCUACGGGAGGCAGCAGUAGGGAAUUUUCGUCAAUGGGCGCAAGCCUGAACGAGCAAUGCCGCGUGAACGAGGAAGGUCUUCGGAUCGUAAAGUUCUGUUGAAGGGGAAAAAGAGCGGAGAGAGGAAAUGAACUCCGAUUGAUAUUACCCUUAGAGGAAGUCACGGCUAACUACGUGCCAGCAGCCGCGGUAAUACGUAGGGGGCGAGCGUUAUCCGGAUUGAUGGGGAGAAAAGGGUGAGUAGGCGGCCUGCUACGUCUGGAGAGACAGGGACCGGC
rnacentral:rRNA from 1 species